rnacentral:rRNA from 1 species
CUCGAUGUCGGCUCGUCACAUCCUGGGGCUGGAGAAGGUCCCAAGGGUUCGGCUGUUCGCCGAUUAAAGUGGCACGCGAGCUGGGUUCAGAACGUCGUGAGACAGUUCGGUCCCUAUCUAUCGUGGGCGCAGGAAUUUUGCGGGGCUCUGACUCUAGUACGAGAGGACCGAGUUGGACAUACCGCUGGUGUACCGGUUGUAUCGCCAGAUGCAUUGCCGGGUAGCUAUGUAUGGAUUGGAUAAGUGCUGAAAGCAUCUAAGCACGAAGCCAGCCCCAAGAUAAGAAUUCCCUUGAGGGUUGUGGGAGACUACCACGUUGAUAGGCUACAGGUGUAAAGGCAGUAAUGUCAAAGCCGAGUAGUACUAAUUGCCCGAAAGAUUUUCUUAC